UACGAAGGGGGCUAGCGUUGCUCGGAAUCACUGGGCGUAAAGGGUGCGUAGGCGGGUCUUUAAGUCAGGGGUGAAAUCCUGGAGCUCAACUCCAGAACUGCCUUUGAUACUGAAGAUCUUGAGUUCGGGAGAGGUGAGUGGAACUGCGAGUGUAGAGGUGAAAUUCGUAGAUAUUCGCAAGAACACCAGUGGCGAAGGCGACUCACUGGCCCGAUACUGACGCUGAGACGCGAAAGCGUGGGGAGCAAACA
rnacentral:rRNA from 1 species